rnacentral:rRNA from 1 species
AGAGUUUGAUCAUGGCUCAGAACGAACGCUGGCGGCAUGCCUAACACAUGCAAGUCGAACGAAGGCUUCGGCCUUAGUGGCGCACGGGUGCGUAACGCGUGGGAACCUGCCCCUCGGUUCGGAAUAACUCAGGGAAACUUGAGCUAAUACCGGAUGAUGACUUCGGUCCAAAGAUUUAUCGCCGAGGGAUGGGCCCGCGUAGGAUUAGCUUGUUGGUGGGGUAGUGGCCUACCAAGGCGACGACGGGUAGCCGGCCUGAGAGGGUGACCGGCCACACUGGGACUGAGACACGGCCCAGACUCCUACGGGAGGCAGCAGUGGGGAAUAUUGCGCAAUGGGCGGAAGCCUGACGCAGCAACACCGUGUGGGUGAUGAAGGCCUUCGGGUCGUAAAGCCCUGUUGAUAGGGACGAAGGGCGAAGGGUUAAUAGCCCGGAGCUUGACGGUACCUUUCGAGGAAGCCCCGGCUAACUACGUGCCAGCAGCCGCGGUAAUACGUAGGGGGCGAGCGUUGUCCGGAAUUAUUGGGCGUAAAGAGCGUGUAGGCGGUUCGGUAAGUCUGUCGUGAAAUCCUGGGGCUCAACCCUGGGCGUGCGAUGGAUACUGCCGGGCUAGAGGGUGGUAGAGGCGAGUGGAAUUCCCGGUGUAGCGGUGAAAUGCGCAGAUAUCGGGAGGAACACCAGUAGCGAAGGCGGCUCGCUGGGCCACACCUGACGCUGAGACGCGAAAGCUAGGGGAGCGAACAGGAUUAGAUACCCCGGUAGUCC